GGAUAAAUAAAGGCAACAGUAGUAUACCGCUGUUCAAACUCAUAAAUCCAUGGACAAAAAACAAAAUCGGGGUAACAAACUAGAACUGAGGGAAACGCACCAAACAUAAGAGGUGAACAAUGACACAACACUACAAUGUAACACACACAGAAACGGACCAAGCAUCAGACAAAAUCCCACGAGAAUAACAAAUAUAACAUCAAAACCAAAUACAAGAAUAUGGGAUAGACAAGUACCGUGACACGUCUUAUCGCAAUGUGAAUU
rnacentral:lncRNA from 1 species